rnacentral:rRNA from 1 species
UAUCGGAACGUGCCAGUCGUGGGGGAUAACGGUAGAGAAUUUACGCUAAUACCGCAUACGAUCUAAGGAUGAAAGCGGGGGACCGUAAGGCCUCGCGCGAUUGGAGCGGCUGAUAUCAGAUUAGGUUGUUGGUGAGGUAAAAGCUCACCAAGCCGACGAUCUGUAGCUGGUUUGAGAGAACGACCAGCCACACUGGGACUGAGACACGGCCCAGACUCCUACGGGAGGCAGCAGUGGGGAAUUUUGGACAAUGGGCGAAAGCCUGAUCCAGCAAUGCCGCGUGCAGGAAGAAGGCCUUCGGGUUGUAAACUGCUUUUGUACGGAACGAAAAGGCUCUUUCUAAUAAAGAGGGCCCAUGACGGUACCGUAAGAAUAAGCACCGGCUAACUACGUG